rnacentral:rRNA from 1 species
GUCUUUUUGGUUAUUUAAUAUAAAGUCUGACCUGCCCACUGAAUUUAUUUUGAAGGGCCGCAGUAUUUUGACUGUGCAAAGGUAGCAUAAUCAUUAGUCUUUUAAUUGAAGGCUGGUAUGAAUGGUUGGAUGAGGUACAAGCUGUGUCAUAAAAAUUAACAAUUGAAUUUACCUUUUUAGUCAAAAGGCUAAAAUGAAAUUAAAAGACGAGAAGACCCUAUAGAGCUUUAUAUAAUUUAUAUUUAAAUUAUUAAGAUUUUUUAAAUUUAAUUAUUAUUUUAUAUUUUGUUGGGGUGACAAUAAAAUUUAUAAAACUUUUAUUUUUAAUUUACAUUUAUUUAUGGCUAUAUGAUCCAGUUUUAUUGAUUAUAAAUUUAAGUUACCUUAGGGAUAACAGCGUAAUUUUUUUUGAGAGUUCUUAUCGACAAAAAAGAUUGCGACCUCGAUGUUGGAUUAAGAGUAAUUUUGGGUGUAGAAGUUCAAAGUUUAAGUCUGUUCGACUUUUAAAUUCUUACAU